GGAGGAUUAGUCUAAUUGGUAAGGCAGCGGUUUUGAAAACCGCCGGGUUAAUAGCCCUUGUGGGUUCGAGUCCCUCAUCCUCCG
rnacentral:tRNA from 1 species